CUGAAACCCAGCUCCAUAUUUGAAGCUGGCUGGACUGAACCUAUGGGCCCUGCCACCUGCUCCUCCAUCGCAGGAGCCUGCUGGCAAGCAAGGUAGCCCGCAGGCCAGCGUGCAACUCCUGAGCGAAUACUGCAUCCUGCAGGCUUGUUGUGAUGGUUUCUCCAACGCUGCCCCUGGCCCGUUCACAGGCUAAGAUGUGUUGUGUGGUUUUGGGGUGCUGCCAAGCCAGCUGGGAUGUCGAAUGCAGCCGACUCAAGAGCAGGCGCCAACCAACCGUUGGCCAAAGACUCUUGCCCCUGACAGCUAGAGCUGAGGCACCAACCUCUUCUCGAGCCUGAGGCGGCUGAGAUGUUAAUGUCUGAUGCUGAUCCCCAAGGGGUCUUGGCAGUUGGGUUUACAACACAGCCUGGUAAAGACAUAGGCCCUUGGCCACGUGCUUGGAUGCAGAGCAUCUCAGCCAAGCGGCUUCUCCGGCCGGGGAAGGGCCAGGAUGGGCAGCGGCCACCUACGGAUCAGCACCCACAGGAGGCUUCAAAGCGCCGCAGAGGGCUGAAGGAGCGGUGAGAUGGAGACGAGCACUUCAGAAGCUCUUCCCACUCUGGGUUUUCUAAGGCAAAGGAGUCAUGCCUGUCCAUCCGCUGAGCGAUCCUCUCGGAGCUGGCUGCUUCUCCAGCCCUGCAGCGGUGCUGCAUAGAGUGCGGCCCUCCUCCAUCAUCUGCCUCAUCUCCUUGCCUUCCUCCCCAUGUGCUUUCUCACUCAUCUUUGGACUGUCGGGGAAGAGCUGCUGGGGCGUGCAACAAACCUCUCGGGGUUACGCCAGCUCUGCCGCCGGCCCUGCUGCCCACCAGAGCGGCUGGUACUGCUCCAGCCUCCUCGCGAGGGAGCAAAGCCCAUCACAAGGGGCACGUGCAAAACCUGUGCUCCGCAGCUCGGUGGCCUGAGGGCAGACUCCGUUUUCCUGGAAGAGCAACCGUCCUUGCAAACGAUCCCUUGAUUAGUGCAAGGUACGUUCUCCACCCCGCUGGGUAUCCAUCGCCGCGUGAAAGACUAGCUGCGAUGGCAGUGCACCAGGAGCGCUGCGUAAGCAAGGUGUCUGCUCAGCCCCCAGGUCUGCAGGAUCAGCCAGGGCCUGGAGCAGGCCAGAAAAGGCACAAAACAUGCUGCUUUAAGGCUCUACAAACAGGUUUUAAGGUCCCAAAGUGAGAAGGGAUGUGGAAAAGGCAGACUCUGUCUGCUGGGGCCUUGCCUAGCAAUAAUGGCACCGCAUGGUCCCCCGCUCCCAGGAAAUGUCUUUCUUGUGCUGUGCUGGCUUGCAUGGUAUCUAACCCUGCCCUCUUCUGGACACAGGCUGUCUGGCAAGGGGCGGCAUUUGGGAAAUGUCCUGAAUUUUAAAAUACCUUAGAGACAUGCAGAAUUAGCUAUUUGAGGGCUUCAGCUUAUGCAAGCCUGUUAGGGCCAGAGAAGCUGGGGGAAGAUGAUGAAAUCUAGGAGCAGAUUUAUAAUGUGAGUCGUGCUCCUUGUAAAAACAAGAAGCAAAUGUGUUAAUGCAACCCCAAGCAUGAGGAAGCCCUGAGACAGAGCAGAGCACGUGGAGGAGCCCUGCAGUUUUCUCGGGGGGCACUUGGUGGGCUAGCGAGGCUGGCUACGGGGGCAGGACGAGACCCGCUGAAACCUCUCUGGUGUGCCAGCGAUGCAGAGAUGUAAAUGGCCCCUUGCCUUGCUGCUGCCGUGAUGAAUUUUGCUUUUCCAACAGGGGCUGAGGAGUCCAAACACCCCGUGGAGGUCUGUUUUAUUUGCAGGACUUGCGGCCCAGAGGGCAGCCAGGGAGAAACCUCGAGAGGCCCCUCGUUGGCAGCUUUGUGCGCCCCAUCGGUUGUCACUGUGUCCCCCAAGCCGGUGCUGUGGGUAUCUGGCCAGCAUCAGCCAGACGCCUCAAGCGCACAGGGCUUGCGGAGCAGUGCCAAAGACUCAGCAGUGAAAUCCAACUUGAGAAUAGCAGGUUCCCCUGUAAAAAUAUGGCAAUGCUAGAAAGCAGAGUGGCUGAGCAGCCCGGGGCAAAGAGUUGACCUUUUUUUUCAGUGUAAGGCCGCAGCUCCCUUGAAGCAACUCCAACAGCAAGCGAUACAGGGACCCCAGCCACCUCCUAGCAGAUAGCCACGUUCCUCAGCUCUCGUGUCAGACUAAGGAGAUGAAUACAGGCAGCUGGCUUUAAUGCAAGGUGCUGAGCAUGUGCACUUGGGUGCAAGGCAAUGAGCAUAUGCAUUCAGGGCUGUGCUGUUGAUGGUGCCCCAGAUCACCUAUGCAUCUCACCAGUUUGUCCUGUUUGCGGUAGAGACUGGCAUACCUAGGCAAAAUGCAGAGGGCCUGUCUCCCCCACUGUCUUCCUCUUCUGCUUUGGCAGCGUUUUCCAGCCCUGCUGCCUGGGGAUGAAUGACUUCUGCCAGCACGGAGGUGCCGAGAGCUGCACGGGAGAGGGGCUAGGAAGGUACCUGCUGCUCCACCGUGCUUUGGCCCUACAGCUGGUUUUGCCUGGUGUUUCAUUUAUUUUUGAUGGUUGCUGCUGUUACCUAUAAAUAAAAUAGUG